rnacentral:rRNA from 1 species
AGGGUGAACGCUGGCGGCAGGCCUAACACAUGCAAGUCGAACGGCAGCACAGGGGAGCUUGCUCCCUGGGUGGCGAGUGGCGGACGGGUGAGGAAAACGUCGGAAUCUGCCUAUUUGUGGGGGAUAACGUAGGGAAACUUACGCUAAUACCGCAUACGACCUACGGGUGAAAGCGGAGGACCUUCGGGCUUCGCGCAGAUAGAUGAGCCGACGUCGGAUUAGCUAGUUGGCGGGGUAAAGCCCACAAGGCGACGAUCCGUAGCUGGUCUGAGAGGAUGAUCAGCCACACUGGGACUGAGACCACGGUCCAGACCUCCUACGGGAGCAGCAGGUGGGAAUAGUUGGACAAGUGGCGCAAGCCUAGACUCCAGCCAUCGCCGCGUGUGAGAAGAAGGCCGUUGGUUACGUAAGUCUACGUUUUGUACCGGAAAGAAACGCGACCGGUUAACGUACCCUGGU